AGGAUGCCAUCCUUGUUGAAUUUGCCACAUAUGCAGCUAUAGUCUUCUCUCCCAUUUGUCAGGCCCUACAUUUCUUUUGAUCCUUGCAUUGGUGCUCUCACUUCUUGCUGUGCUCUGUAGAAAUGGGUAGAAAUCAUUCUUGAAGUAGACUGGGUUUCAAACUCUUCUAUUGUUAAGGAAUUCCCCACAACAUCUUCAAACUCUUCAGGAAAUGUCUGCUCUAUAGCUGCUUUCAUUGCUGCAUCUUGAUCUGUUAUGAUGGUUGUUGGAUGCUUUCCACCCAUUGCUUCAAUGAAUGAUUCAAAGACCCAUUUGAAAGUAUCAAUGGUUUCAUCACAGAUGAAUGCACAACCAAAGAAACAGUUUUCCCCAGUCGAAGUUUCAUUAUCGAGACCUGCAAGCUGCAAUUCAAGUAUGAAGAAGAUAAGUAUCUUUUUGGUUUUCUUAUUUAGCUAGUUUGAUGAUUUCUUUAUGAUUGACUUACCUCUUCAUCUUGUUCUUGUCCAUCAUAAUCCCAGUUGAUGUAGUCAUUUGAUUUUUCGAAGUUGAGUCCAUGUACCUGUUGAUGAUUAUUGUGUAGUUGUAAGUUCAAAUGGAUUUCUAUUUUAUGCAAAGGUGGUUAAAUUUUAUAAUCUAUAUGAAUCAUAAGUGUAAAUAAGAUUAUUUAUCAUGUGUACCUCUGUGUUCAUGUCCCCCAAUAGUAGAGAUGUAUAUGGUCCAAGUGGUUCUUGCAUUUGAUUCUGCAGCCGUUUGAACAAUUAGUUUUUGUUAAUAUUACAUUAUGUUAUUGUUAAUUUUACAUUUUUGGUAUAGGUGUAAUAUAUUUAUAUUUGCCAUGUAAUUAGUUUUACCUGGUAGCUCGAUGGCAUCAUGUUUUCUUCUUGUGAAUUCCUUAUCUGUUCCAUCAUCAGUUCUAUGUAACUUCCCUGCCAGAAGUUUUCUGAGCUGAUCAUCAUGUCAUUACCAGUUGUUGUCAUCAUUUGUUCUUUGCCCUUCUCAGUGGCUGUGUACCUUGUCUUUGCUAUCCUUUCCUGUCAAUGUGAUUACCAUCUAUCCUGAUCAUAGAUGUCUUUUUGCCCUAAUAACAUUAUUUUGUAAUAUUCUUUAAUUUUUUGGUAUUGUAUUCUAAUUUGUGGAUCCUAAUGCAGUUUUUUAAUCUUUGUGUGCAGCAUGAGAAUAUUUUGUGCGUCAGGAGAUGUUAAUGAUUGAGUGAAAGGCUUACUGAUUGCUGUUGGUGUCUAAAAAAGUUUAUCCUAAGGGCUGCACUUGUGGUAAUCUGCAUGUUUGUUAGUGGAAGAAAUGAUUAGUGUGCAGCAGAUACGCCACUGAUUUGCUCGUCACACCUCUAUGCCUUUGCCUUUGCCUUUGCCUUUGCCCCGAGCUACCCGUCGUGGAGGAGGCAUGGGCCUACUGAGAUGAGGGAUUGAGAGCUGCUGGACCCAUUCAGUUGUUCCCUUCCCUGCUGUCAAGUGCUCGCCAAUGAGCAGAGCAGCAAAAAGAUGCAUCUGCCAAGGAUGAGAUGAGAACACUGAAACUUUUCAGACAAGUGGAGAAUGAAAACUGCGAGAGAGACAGUGGGGCGCUUGCGCUUCUGAAAUAAUUGCUGGUUUCGUGGUUUCUGAGACAGUCCUCGGAGGAUGCAGACCGCGUAGGAAUCGGAGGCUAAGAAUUGGUGAUCCACUCGCGGACCUGAUGUUGUCUGCUGCGGCAAGCAAGUUUCGUGGUGGAUGGGGAAAGAGGGGGCUCAUAAUGGAACGCUUUUAUGUAUAUGUGUCCGAAUGGCUUGGCUUGGCUUGAUUUGAUUUGACUGUCGACGGAAAGCCCUCUUGUUGGCUUGCAAUUGCAUGAUUGAUUGGCGAUUUCAGGCCAACUGUCGAAGCGAGGUGCAACGGAGGAGUAAUCGCUAUCAGUUUGAUGGUGGUAAAGUGAAGUGUUACUUCUAGUGCUCUCCUGCAAGCAAGUGCCACGGCUCAAAUGGCAGGCAGCCAGGCACUGCUGCUUUUCCAAUGAGUUCUGAAAUUACAGGCACGUCAGUUUGUCUGCUGCGGCAUCCAAUUUUGGUCAGACCUGAACCAGGUGAUCGUUAGCAUUCUGCUUCUUCGUUUACACAUGAACAGGUUCCACUAGGUGACUGGCUGAGUACUGCAGAGCAAUAGAGUGAUGGGUUGGCUUGUUUUUUCUUUUUCUUUUUUUGAAAAGGCAAUAGAGUGAUGGUUGAAUCAGUGGAUCAAUGACAGGGAUCACGGCAAAAAAGAAAAGACAAGGCUAGUGGAAACCGAGUGCAGACGGGCCGAAAAUGUGGAUCUCAGAUGCUUGGGAACGGGAAGCCCACUCCAUAGAAACCGAGGCCUAGACAACCUUUUUUGGGCUAGGAUCUUAUGUGAGUGAGGCCAAAUUUGCCACCCCAUAUUGGAAAUCCAUUUUGUCUCUAUAAACUAUUAUUUUGUGGUCUGAUUUUUCUCCCAAACUCUAAACUAGACAUCUUAACCGUGAACUCUAAAAG